rnacentral:rRNA from 1 species
CCUACGGGUGGCAGCAGUGAGGAAUAUUGGUCAAUGGCCGAGAGGCUGAACCAGCCAAGUCGCGUGAGGGAAGACGGCCCUACGGGUUGUAAACCUCUUUUGUCGGGGAGCAAAGCGAACCACGUGUGGUUCGUUGAGAGUACCCGAAGAAAAAGCAUCGGCUAACUCCGUGCCAGCAGCCGCGGUAAUACGGAGGAUGCGAGCGUUAUCCGGAUUUAUUGGGUUUAAAGGGUGCGCAGGCGGAGGUGCAAGUCAGCGGUCAAAUUGCGGGGCUCAACCCCGUACUGCCGUUGAAACUGCAUCACUUGAGUGCGCGAGAAGUAUGCGGAAUGCGUGGUGUAGCGGUGAAAUGCAUAGAGAUCACGCAGAACUCCGAUUGCGAAGGCAGCAUACCGGCGCGUAACUGACGCUCAUGCACGAAAGCGUGGGUAGCGAACAGGAUUAGAUACCCCGGUAGUC